rfam:Tupaia chinensis contig30793, whole genome shotgun sequence.
AUACUUACCUGGCAGGGGAAACACUAUGAUCACGAAGGUGGUUUUCCCGGAGCGAGGCUCACCCAUUGCACUGUGGGUGUGCUGACCUCUGCUAUUUCCCCAAAUGCGGGAAACUCAGCUGCAUAAUUUGUGGUAGUGGGGAACUGCGUGCGCACUCUCCCCUG